rnacentral:lncRNA from 1 species
AGUGUCCACAAUUUGCAAGUAACAGAUUAUGACUGCAAAGCAUCUAUCAGCAUCAGUAGAGGAGAAGGAAAAAAAAUACCAAUUAUGAUGGAAGCUGUUUCCCUUCAAGUUCACGGUAACCUACCAGCUGCCUGAACAGCACAUGCUUAGCACAGCCUGCUGAAUUCUCGACUCACUCACCCGAACUUCUCACUGGAGUCUAUUCUUCCCAACCUCGAAGAAAACCCAGUGGUUAGCUAAUGCUUAGGGC